rnacentral:rRNA from 1 species
UAAAGGUGGCUUUUGGGCUGUCGCAGAUGGAUGAGCCUGCGUUGGAUUAGCUAGUUGGUGAGGUAAGGGCCUACCAAGGCUACGAUCCAUAGCUGAUUUGAGAGGAUGAUCAGCCACAUUGGGACUGAGACACGGCCCAAACUCCUACGGGAGGCAGCAGUGAGGAAUAUUGGACAAUGGGGGCAACCCUGAUCCAGCAAUGCCAUGUGUGUGAAGAAGGCCUUAGGGUUGUAAAGCACUUUAGUUGGGGAAGAAAGCUUUGAGGUUAAUAGCCUUGAGGAAAAGGACGUUACCCAAAGAAUAAGCACCGGCUAACUCCGUGCCAGCAGCCGCGGUAAUACGGGGGGUGCAAGCGUUAAUCGGAAUUACUGGGCGUAAAGGGUCUGUAGGUGGUUUGUUAAGUCAGAUGUGAAAGCCUAGGGCUCAACCUUGGAACUGCAUUUGAUACUGGUAAACUAGAGUACGGUAGAGGAAUGGGGAAUUUCUGGUGUAGCGGUGAAAUGCGUAGAGAUCAGAAGGAACACCAAUGGCGAAGGCAACAUUCUGGACCGAUACUGACACUGAGGGACGAAAGCGUGGGGAUCAAACAGGAUUAGAUACCCUGGUAGUCCACGCUGUAAACGAUGAGUACUAGCUGUUGGAGUCGGUGUAAAGGCUCUAGUGGCGCAGCUAACGCGAUAAGUACUCCGCCUGGGGACUACGGCCGCAAGGCUAAAACUCAAAGGAAUUGACGGGGACCCGCACAAGCGGUGGAGCAUGUGGUUUAAUUCGAUGCAACGCGAAGAACCUUACCUGGUCUUGACAUCCUGCGAUCUUUCUAGAGAUAGAUUGGUGCCUUCGGGAACGCAGUGACAGGUGCUGCACGGCUGUCGUCAGCUCGUGUUGUGAAAUGKUUGGGUUAAGUCCCGCAACGAGCGC